CAAAAUUUGAUGCAAUUAAUUCCAUCACCGUCCAUAUAUCACAAAGAAUUUGAAAGUGUAUAUUGAUUAUUGAUAGAGACGAAAUCUAAAGAGCUAUCAUGGUUGUUGAUGCAGGAUCAUGGUUGAGGCCUAAAUCCAAGAUUUGGAGCCGAAUUUAAUGAUCAGAGAUUUCGAGUUCAGGAUUGGAGCUUAACCCUAUGAUAG
rnacentral:lncRNA from 1 species